CUGUGUCUGAGUUGUUCAACAUGGUUCCUCACACUGAACUCAGUGGCUGGUGCACACAGUAGGAUUUUUCUCCCAGGUCAAAGCACUGUAUGUUCCAGUUUGCACCUGAAUUAAAAAUAAACUACAUUAAAUCUGAAAAACAUUCUGAACUCAGUGAAAGAGAAGAACUAAAUUAAAUUUACCAGUGUUCUGAUACAACUUCCACUGCCUAUUCUGAGAGAAAAAGAACCGGCUCUAACCAGUGAUGAACCCUAAACAACAGAAACCAGAAUUUAUUUCUGGAGGCAUAUGUUAUCAUGGUAACAACAUCCCAAGAACUCUUCUGAUUCACAAGACUUCAUCAAACAACAAACCUUUUGGAAAGCCAAUGUGAAACACGUUGAGUGGAGCCUAAUAAAAGCUAGAGAAUAUAAGAGAGAAUGAGUAUGUUGCU